ensembl:misc_RNA Metazoa_SRP Metazoan signal recognition particle RNA
GCCGGGCGUGGUGGCUCACGCCUGUAAUCCCAGCACUUUAGGAGGCUGAGGUGGGUGGAUCACUUGAGGCCAGGAGUUUGAGAGCAGCCUGGUCAACACGGUGAAACCCCAUCUCUA